rnacentral:rRNA from 1 species
UUACGCGAAGACCUUACCUAGGCUUGACAUGCACGGUAAUACCGCAGAGAUGCGGAGUCCGAAAGGGCCGUGCACAGGUGGUGCAUGGCUGUCGUCAGCUCGUGUCGUGAGAUGUUGGGUUAAGUCCCGCAACGAGCGCAACCCUCAUCCUUAGUUGCCAUCACGUUUGGGUGGGCACUCUGGAGGGACUGCCGGCGGUAAGCCGGAGGAAGGUGGGGACGACGUCAAGUCAUCAUGGCCCUUACGCCCAGGGCUACACACGUGCUACAAUGGUUGGUACAGAGGGCAGCGACACGGCAACGUGAAGCAAAUCUCAUAAAGCCAAUCUCAGUUCGGAUUGGGGUCUGCAACUCGACCCCAUGAAGUUGGAAUCGCUAGUAAUCGCGCAUCAGCAAUGGCGCGGUGAAUACGUUCCCGGGUCUUGUACACACCG